rnacentral:lncRNA from 1 species
UUUUUAUUUUUUUUUCUUUUCUUCUCUUUUCUCUCUUUUUUUCAGAGCACUCAUCUCUUGAGAUAAUAUAGCAAGUGGUAGUAGCAAGAUAACUUGAGCAUUUAUUUCAUAAGGGAAAACAGAAAUAUUUUUGGCUAUUCUCUCCCGGAUUAGGAGUAGAAUAUUUUUGGGUGGUUCUGGAGAUGGACAUGGAUGGAUAUAUGUGGAUGGUACUUCCGGAGUAGAAGUAGCAUAUAUGAGUGAACGUGCAAGUGAAUCUUGAUUUUAACCGCAUGACAAGCUCCUAAGGGUCUACACAGCUUGACCACACUCAAUGCUCAUAAGCAGUAAAAAGUAAAUGUAUGGUUCAUAGUCUAAUAAGCAUGUAUAUAUGGCUGUGGUAGGAAUUUAAACUCUCAUCAUACAGGAACUCAUCAUGCAAUAUUUUAAAGAUUUUUCAAAGAUAAAAAUCUCCAAAAUUCUAGCAUCUCUAAGAACAGAUAAACAGCAGCUCAACCUUCCCAUAUCAUAUCCGUUAACACUUAGAUUUCAGAUCAAGUUUUCAUCCCACAAGUUUAGAUCUAGAGCAAGCUUUAAAUUAUAACAGUUAUGUCUAAACUUGAGAGAGAACUUCAAAUUUGCAAAUUAGGCAGAGCAACUAUUCAUCAUAUCAUGCUAGAGUUUUAUUAUUAAGAUUCAGAUUAGCAUAUCCACUUUAUUUAUUUAUUAAACACACUAAGCAAAAGAUAUAUAUAAGCACAAAAUCUUUAUUUGGUUUUUCAUAGUUUAUGUAUUUUAAUAUUCUAAUAUAAUAUAAGUAUAAAGAUAGGUAGAAAUACUUAGCGAGAUAAAUGGGGGUGCUCUCCCCCAAGCUGAAUUUUGACGUAAUUUCUCUUGAUGUAGCUAGCAGGUGGCAGAGGUGUAUUUGAAAGUCAGCAGCAUUCUGACAGCGAUUAGAAUGUCCUCCGUCUGCCAGUCUUCUUGAUUCUUAAAUUCUGUGGAGCUCAAAUAGACAACAAAGCUUGUGGAACUAAUUAAGUGUUAGCAUAAAUAUCUAGCCUUCAUCAUGUUGAGCUUCCUCAAUAAAUAUUACUCCCUGUUUUUAUAUUUUUAUUUUAUAAAGCAGAAAAUAAAUAUUUAUUUUAUUUUUAUGCCACCACAGUGAAGGUACUUAUGGUUUUUAUGCCACUCGUAUACUCACAUGGGGCUUAGUAUUUUUUAACAUUUUUAUUUUCUUUUCAAGAUAGCAUGAUUGACUAAUAAUCUAUUUAGGGAAAGUAAAUAAUUAAAGGGAAAAGGGAAUGCAGAAAGGAUAAAUAUGGAUAACUACUGAUCUUACCUUUCGGCGAGGGUUCAAUGUUUUAAGUCUUCUUAACAAGACUUCUCACCGUGUUCAUUCUUCAGGUGCGUCAUUUGAUUCAGGUGCGGACCUUGACGUCUGCACCUCUUCGUUUGCCCAGCAGUUCGAAGUGCGGCGUUGGCAGUAUUCUGCUCAGUGUGUUUAUGCUCGUAGAUCCAGGUCCUUCACUUGGUAGAGUCUGAGAGUUAUAAAACUCCUCCGUGUUUUGCUCAAAGUGUACCUGCUCAUAGAGACAAGGCAGAGAUCAAGUGCAUGGGUCCUGUUGGUGGAAAACACCAACAAAACCUAAAGUGUAUAUGUUCUUCUCUAACCCUAAGCAUAGUGAGCAAGACAAAGUUGAUGGAUGAAAAGUUCAUGAGUGUAGCACUUAUAACAUUUGUCAGAUCAGAUCGCUCAACCUUAUGGAAAGAUAAUCUAUCUAUGUAUAUGUCUUUUUCUUUAUAUCUCUCAAUGAUUGAAUGUAUAACAUUUUAGCUCAUAUGAAUAGGAGUGUGGGAUCAUGGAGGUAGUACUAAGAACAAGGAUUAAAGGACUAAACAUGUUGAAUCAGUUGGGUUGGUUAAUCUAGAGUUGUAACUCAUACAUGUUUGUCUCUUUAUUUAUGUGAACGCCAGAACCAAAGAGAGGCUUAUAAAAGUGAUAGUCAAGUACCUUAAGGUGUUACCUUACUUGAAGAGUGAUGGUACAGUAUCACCUUGUGGAAGCUUUCCUUUCUUAGCGGUUGUGCAUCGUGUUUGUGGCACCCUCCAUGGAUCAUCUCUCUAUGAUGAAUGAGCUAUAUCCUUCUUGUGCAAAUUGUUAAACUUCAUGCGUCACUCUCUUUGUCUCUGAUGUGAGUUUAUCUCAGGACUUCUCAAAUCAAUAUUGAAAGUUUUUCUGCAGGGGUUAGUCCGACAAAAAUAUACCAAUGUCUACACAAGUAGUUUUUAGUUCAAUAACCGAACUAGACUCCAUGUCUAAUCAGAUUAAGGAAGGCUGAUUAACCUAAGCACCAUGCUUAAUUUAAAAGCCAAUAGAAGUAUGUGCAGUACUUCUAAACUAACACUUACUAGUAAAUAGACAAAGGUAACAUGACAACAUUUAUAGAGAUCUACUCAAGUGGAGAUGAAGUAGUGUGAUUAGUAUUUAACAAAUUGAGCAUGUCUUAAAGGUAGGGACAACCAACAUAGCAACAUGGCAAAGGAUGUUUUUAUGUAAAGUACUCCCCCAAGCUUGAAUUUUGCAGAAUUCAAGUUUGGAUGAAUUUAAUUCAAUGUUGUAUGAUGAUUGGUUGGACAUACCUUGUGCUUGUCAUUCAUCCGAUCUUCUUGCUCCAAUCCUAUAAAGGUUAGUGACAAGAAUACCCGAAGGAAUAUUUUUUACAAUUAUCCUUAUAUGCUCAAUACACAAGGUAAUGUUGCAAAUAAUUAAAAGCUCAUGUUACGAUCUGAUCAGUGCUUAUUUUAAGACACUAAGCUUGUCCUUGGGAAACCAUCAAUUUAUGUCGGCGAAGUGGUUUCCCUUCCAACGCUGACCUAUAUCAAGAUCAACUCAACAAGAUCUACAAUAUUUAUUAUAGACAUAUGCAUCGACAACCGCCCUUUUAAAGUUUUUAUAAAUAGAAAGGAAGAGGGGGUUGGAGAUCUCAAAUGUGGUGAUGUUGGAGAGACCAAUAGAUUGGGAAGAUGUUGCAUAUGAGCAUGGAGUAAACAAAGUGGCUAUGAAAUAAAUUCCAUGCUCAUUAUUGUUAUCUUCGUCUCCAAUCUGAAUGUUUCGAGUUCCUCUUGGAUUGGUCUUACUUAUGUCCACUUCUAUAGUUGGAUGAAUCCUAUCUUCAAAGGGAGUCAAGAACUCACCAUUUGAAAUUGAACCAAAGUCAGAAUUCAUUAAGGCUUCUUCCUUAUCCAUCCAUUCUACACAUUCUAGCCAUUUAGAACUUGUGAUCAGGAAAGGGGAGGUGAUAGAAUGGCUUAGCUCUCCUUCACUUGAUAUGUCAUCCUCGACUUCUUCAUAACAGGAACCAGGACAUUCUCUAAGAGAACCAUUAUUGCGAGGAUUUGAAUUAUCCCUGCUUGAAGGUCUCUUAUGGAACCAGAAGUCUAAACCAUCAGCAUCUGAAAGAUUUAAGGUCAGAAUUCCUUCCUCCCUUGGAGAAUUUUGGGGUAUUGAUGGUUUAGGAUCGAUAGCUAAAGUUUGGAAUUGAAGUGGUUGUGAUCUGGCUAUCGAAACUUCUUCUUCUUGUCUAGGAACUGGUUCUGUCUCUUUCUCAGGGAUAUAAAAGCUAGGAGACUUUCCACUUAAUAAAAAUCAAUCAAAUUCCAAGCUUCACUAGCAGGUAGGUGAUAGAAGGAUCCUCUAGAGGCUGUAUUCAAGGUUUGCUUAUUUUCCCCACUAAGGCCCUCAAAAAAGUGAAUUAGAAGAACUUCUUCUGGAAUAGAAAGCUUUGGGCCAGUGAGAGUAAGGUUAAUAAAGCGGUCCCAUGAUUUCCUAAGAGAUUCUUCUUCCAGUUGUCUAAAAGAAAUAAUCUCACGCCAAAAUUCCGCCACUUUGGAGAUUGGAAAAUAUUUUAAAAGAAAACUAUUAUGUAACUCCUUCCAAUCUCCAUGAACACUCCCUACUUUGAGUUUAUACCAAUGUCUAGCUUUUCCUGUUAAAGAGAAUGGAAAGAGCUUCCAUUUAAGGGUCUCAUCGGACAUGCCUUCUAUGCGAAGGAGGUCACAGACUCGAUAAAACUCUCUUAGGUGUGUGUAUGGGUUUUCCUCACCUUCUCCUAAGAAAGGUUGUUUUUGAACAAAUUCUAUGUAUUUGGGGUCUAUCUCGAAACUAGAUGCUAUGAUAGGCUUUGAAGAUUUUGGUGGUUCGAGAUGUGUGCCCGUAGGUCUAUGAAAUUCAUAGAUAGACAUGUUUGAAUUCAUGAUAGACCAGAGAUCAAGGAUUAGAUAAGAAGAAAGAUUAGCAGAGAUGAGGCAAAGGAUAAAAGGAAAAUAUUUAUUUUUAUUUUUUUUAGAAAAUGAUUAAGCUAGUUCGUAGUCAACUCAGCAACCGUUUCCCCGGCAACGGCGCCAAAAAUGCUUGUUGACACUUGCUAACACCACUUGAAUACUAGGUUGUCAUCCCCAGCAUGGCACUAGAGUGUACUAUGGUAUUUAUACGCACACAGAUAAUCCGCAAGCGCACGGAUACCGUUGAAGCUUUUACCUGGUUAAAGGUUUUAUCGUAUCCACAGGGAAACGGGAGAACUGAUCUACGCUCUAACUUAACCAAGAAAGAUAGAUAAGUGUAAAUAGGAAAGAUGGUAGAAUCGAAUAAGAACAAUAUUAAAGGUAAGAUAACAAUGACUGAUAAUAUGGGAAUAGAGAAUAGAGCAAUUCUAAUAUAUGGGCGAUGGUAGCAGAAUAGAGAGGAUAACUAUGGUUUCUCUACUUCAAAGGGGUAUGUCUAUGUCUGGGACGAACCACGUGAUAAGAUUACACCACAAAGGAUGCUUAUCCAUAGGCCGAUAGACCCUACCCGUCCUGCUAACGAGAGGUGGACUACAGAGGACCAACGUAACUGUCACCUACGCGGCCUACCACACGAUCCAGCUUAAAGAUGGCAAUUUUUAUCCGAAACCCGAAACCCGAUGGGUAAUUACCUCAUUACGGUAAGGGUAUUGCUAUUUUUUUACCCACGGGUAAGAUAAUGGGAAAAAAGCUUUACCCAGUGGGUAAAGCGGGUAAGGGUAUGAGACUGCAUUGCCCAUACCCAUUAACCCAUGGGUAAAUUGAACCCGAUAAAUUGUAUUAGAAUCAUGGAACUUGUGAAUUUUAUGACUUGUUAUCUAGUAAUGAUGGAUUUACCCACUAGAUCAUUUGAUUGUGUGUUCAUGUAGCUUGUAUAUUUGAAGAGUUUAUUAAUGAUUUAUGAUAUUUUGGCUAAAUUUGGGAGCUUGGUAUAUUAAAACACGUAUUUUUUCAUAGCAAAUAUUCUUAAAAUCAUGGGUAAAGAUAACCCAUGGGUUACCCGUUACCCGCAUGGGUAAGGGUAUGGGAAAAAACUCUUACCCGUGCACAGGUAUGGGUAAAUUAACGGGUAAAAUAUUUUCUCGUGGGUAAGGGUAUGGGUAACACGUACCCAGCGGGUAAUUACCCAUUGCCAUCCCUAAUCCAGCUAGACAGGGGAUAUCCACAAGUAAUCUAGAUCUAAGCACCUCGCUUACACCUAUACUACAACUCUCACCUAUAGCGUCCUAUAGAUUAGAAUACUCAAAAGAGUUGUGAACUAGAACAUACAUAAUUAGUAAUUGCAUAAUGAAUUAGAAGUAGAUUACCAGAGUCAUCCCAUGAGCAAGCUUGAUUAGAGCUUGAUCAUGACGAAGUACAACCGGAGGAAGAACCGACAGGCCGGGCCUCUCCUCUAAUCCUCCUUCGCUCUCCAUCUUGCUACUGUCUAGAUCUACUCUAGUUUAGAGAAGAGAGGAGAGCUCUCAUCUCUAAACCCUAGCUUUUGCUCUGUCUAUGAAUAAUGAAUAAUGAUCAAGGGGUGCCUCCUCCAGGGGCCAGGGGGUCUGGUUAUAUAGUCCCCUCAAGUGAACCUGGGCCGUCGGAUCAAACCGACAUUGAUUGAACGGUUAUUCUUGAUGUAUUAGGUCGGUGGAGCAUGAUCCGCGAAGUUGAAGCUGAUUGGUUACUGUAGCUGGGCGGGCACCCAAGGGACUUGGGCGGGCGCCCUGCCCCCGGGCCCGAUCGGCCUCCCGUUCGUUCUCGUGGCUUCUGGAGUCUUCUAGAUGGUAGAAAAUUGUGUGGCACGUUAAUAUCUCUAUGUAAACCCGACGUGUGGGCCUUUCUUUCAUAUUUCCUGAUAACCCCCUGCAGAAAUAGACAAACACCAAAACUCAUGGAAUUCUGUCAGAUAAAACCCUAAGUCUAGAUGUUGAUUUCAUUUGGAUCCUUUUCUUUGUUUAUUUGAUAAUUAAAUUUGAUACUUAAGGACCGUCAACAACCACGUUGGCCUUGUCGGGGCGAGGAACAAGAUCCCAGGUGUGGUUCUCCAUGAGGGCUGCAUAUUCAUCUUCCAUGGCGCGACUCCAGUGAGGAUCUACAAGGGCAUCGCGGCAGGUCUGGGGAAUUAGAGAAAGAGCCUCGGCGUGGAGGAUACGAGGCUGAAUGUAUCCGGACUUCCCACGAGUCAUCAUGCCAUGAUUGUUGUCGAUCGGAGGAAUAGGUACAGCACCAGCAGGGGGGGCAUCUUUGACAAACUUUGGUGGUGAGGGGAUGAAUGUGGAGCGGCGUGGAGUAGCAGCUGGCGGUGAUGGUGGUGGAGCAGCAGUUGGUGGAGGACGCCGAGAAUAAACUUGGGUGACUGGCGGCUUGUGGAAGGCUGCUGGUAUAGGCUGUGAUGGUGGUGGAGCAGCAGCUGGUGGAGGACGCCGAGAAUAAACUUGGGUGACUGGCGGCUUGUGGAAUGCUGCUGGUAUAGGCUGCACGGGUGGAGCAGUGGGUGCUGGGGCUGCUGCCUGGGGCAGUAUUGUGGGCGCAGAAGGUGCUGCAGGAGGUGCUGCUGGGGGCUCCUGGGAAGACCGUGGGGGCUGUGCCAUAGGAGAGGACCGGGGUGCUGGCCCAGCCCGGAUGGGGGGCAGGAGCGUCACCGGAUCAUCGUCAUUGUCAGGCAACCCAGCCGCAGCCGUGGCCUGCUGCGUAGGGUGUACAGAUGUACCUGCAGGAGAAGAGAAAGCUGGCAGGGGCCCAUCGUUAGUUAGAAAAUCAAGCUCAUGAGGGGUUGUGGUCCGGUGCCCAGAGAAAGGGAAGGUCGUCUCAUCAAAGAUAACAUGACGAGAGAUAAUGACCUGAUUGGAAGAAAGAUCGAGGCACUGGUAGCCUUUGUGAUCAGAGGAGUAACCGAGGAAGGCACAUAGAGUGGAACGGGGAGCAAGUUUGUGGGCUGUGGUGGCAGUGAGAUUGGGAUAGCAGGUGCAUCCAAAGACUCGAAGGUCAUGGUAGGAGGGAAGGGUACCAUGAAGAGCGAAGAAGGGAGUGGUCAUGUUUAGAGUUUUGGUGGGGAGGCGGUUAAGGACAUGGGUGGCGGUGGAGAGGGCGUCGGCCCAGUAAGAGGGGGGCAUGGACGCUUGAAUAAGGAGCGUGCGGAUGAUGUUGUUGGUGGUGCGGAGAAUGCGCUCAGCCUUUCCAUUUUGUUGAGAAGUGUACGGACACGACAUGCGAAGGGAGACACCGUGGGUGAGAAAGAAGGUGCGGGAGACAGAAUUGUCAAAUUCGCGACCAAUGUCACAUUGGACAGAUUUGAUGUGACACCCGAACUGAGUACGGGCAUAAGCAAAGAAAUUAGAAAUAGUUGGAAAAGUAUCAGAUUUAAGGCGAAGUGGAAAGGUCCACAAAAAAUGAGAAAAAUCAUCGAGGAUAACUAGAUAAUAUUUAAAUCCAGAAACACUUGGAACAGGUGACGUCCAUAGGUCACAAUGUAUUAAAUCAAAGGGUUUGGAAGCCCUUGACAAAGAAACGGAAAAAGGAAGGCGCACAUGGCGUCCUAGCUGGCAGGCAUGACAUAGUUGAUCAUCUGCAAGCUGAGGGCAGGUGAUCGAUGAAGAGUGAGCAAGGUGCUGAAGGGCCGCCUUGCCGGGGUGACCAAGGCGGCGGUGCCAGAUGGACGACGAAGGAGUGGCGACAAGGACGCAGGGAGUAGAGGACGUCGAUGGUAGCUGCAAGGUGUAGAGGGGCCCCGAGCUGUUACAUCGAAGGAGGACGUCCUUGGUACGAAGAUCCUUCACAGAAAUACCAGAAGGGUCAAACUCGAUAGAAACAUGAUUAUCAAUAGUAAAUUGACGUACAGAUAAGAGGUUCUUAACGAUGCCGGGAGCAAGAAGAACAUUGUUAAGGCGAAAUGGUCCAAGAAUUGUGGCGUAGCCGGUGCCAAUAACAGGAAGUGUGGCGCCGUUGCCCACCACAAUGGAGGAGGGAAAGGAGGAGAAAGUGGGGGUAACAAUAUCGGGAUCGGAGGCGACGUGGGAAGAGGCGCCGGAGUCGAAAACCCAGUCCGUGUUGCUCGGCGGAUUGAGCGAGACGGUGCUGAAAGCCUGGGCGAGGGACUGAGGAGUCCAGGGAGUCCAUGCCGGAGGAGUAGGUAGCAGCGCCGGGGAGUAGGAGCCUGUCCCUGGAGGAUGAACGCCAGUCAUCAUGGCGUGCUGCUGAGGAGUGUCAGUGCGUACUGGAGGAGGACGAGGGCCGCCAGGUGUGGUUCCGGGCCACAUAUGAAUGGACCCGGUCCAUGGGUUGUAGAGGGAUGGCCACUGCUGGCUGCCUGAAUGUCCCUGCUGACCACCUGAGUGUCCCUGCUGGCCGCCUGAAUAGCCCUGUUGGCCGCCCUGGUUGCGCCCGCCACGGCGACGCCGGCCACGACCAGCACCAUAAUUGUUGCCUGAAGGACCUCCACCGGAUGAAGGCACUGUUGAAGUGCGCUGAGGAGCAGGACUGGGGGCUGGUGCUGUAGAGGAUUGCUUGCUUGAGGAGGAGGCAAGGAAGGCAGUAGGGGCCGCUGAGGGCUGCACCAUGUUCAGCUCGGCGAGACGAAGAUCAGCACGGACAUCAGCAAACAGAGGGAAUGGCUUCUAUCGAGUGAUGAGUUGAGCCAUGAAUUGAAAAUGCUCAUUGAGGCCCCGCAAUACAUUGAGGACAAGGGUCCGAUCAUUGACAGGUUCACCGAGAUCAGCAAGGGCGUCGGCCAUGCCCUUCAUCUUGCGACAGUAGUCAUCAACAGAGAGUUCGCCCUGGGAGAGAUUGCGGAAUUCAGCAUCAAGAAGUAGCGCCCUGGACUCGCGGUUGCCCAGAAAUUGCUCCGCAAUCCCGAGCCAGGCCACCCGAGCAGUGACGCCGUCGUGCGCGUGGAUGAUGUCGAGGAGGUCGGUGGAGAUGCUGUUGAAAAUCCACAAGACGACCACACAAUCCAUGCGAUACCAGGCAGGGUCGGUGGGGCGGGACUCAUCGCUGAGAACGUGAUCCUUCAGAGAGUACCUGCCGAGGGCGAGGAGAAGGUACCCACGCCACUUGGAGUAGUGAGGGGAUUUGAGGUCGAGGACGAUGGGAAUGAGGUAUUUGACGUUCUGCACCGCGCAGGCCUGAUUGUGCAGGUGCGUGAUAGCAGUGGCCUCAGAGAAGACAGAGCACUCGUCUUCCUCCUCCUCAGUGUCGCGCGAGGCCUCGAGACGAAGUCUUUCGCGGAUUUCGGCCGCCUGCGCUUCCAGGGCAUCGGCCUCCGCGCGCUCCAUGGAGAGGGCGUCAGCGGCGUCGCGAACCCGAUCCUGGGCGGCGGCGGCGGACUUGAGGAGGGCCGCCUCCUGCUGGAGUUGGGCAGCCCGAUCGUCGUUGGCCGCGCGGGCAGCAGAGGCCUCGUCCUCGAGGCGCUAGGCGGCUGCGAGGGCAGCGUCGCACAGUUGGGCUGCGUUGGCGGCGGUGAUGGCAGCAGCAGAGGCGCCGGUGCUGGAGCCGUCGGUGCCAGCCAUGGCGCAAACGCCGAGAGAGAGAGGGGAAGAGGGCGCGAACGUCGGGAGGGGAGCGGAAGCAGAGGGUCGGCACGGGGCACGGGACCCUGAUCGUAAGUCUAUGAUACCAUGAAGGCAGAAUGCCGACUGGCUUAGAUUGAUUGAAUGAGAUUACAGAGGAGUUACACAUAUAUAGAGGCCCAAGGGGCCAGAUCACACUAGCCACAUAGGGUGGCGUACAACUGAGUAAUUAGGAGUAAAUAGCACAUACACAGGAACCAAGGAGAUACUAGCACAGUACUCUAGGAUAAUCUAACAGUCCCCACUAUGCAAAAACGACCAUGUUCCUCGACCCCGUCCCUCGUCCCCAUCGACCCGGGAACUUUGUGACUAUGGUCUGAAUAACUUGUAUAAGAUUCGGAAAGCUUCUGAUUCUUGUCCCUUUUCCCACUUGAGCUACCUAAAAUAGAAAAGAAAAAGGAAAGAAGAAUGAACAUAACUGAAAUAAUGGAAUGUGUUAUCAAGAGCAUCAAGAUUCUGAUAACAACCAUAUGUAUUUACAAUGAACCAGUUAGGACAAAUUCAAUAAGUAUAGCCUGUACACAAAUGCAGUGUUUGAGUUUUUAAAAAAAUAUUACUGUCCAAAAAUAUAGGGCAUAUUUCAUAUUUCAAAGCAAAAUAAGUUUAUAUUCCUCACAAUUAACAUACCUAAAGGCUAAAUCUACAGGAGAAGAAUAAGUGAUAAUUAAUGAUUAAAGUUGGUACAGAUGAAUUUCCUGACAGAAUAAUUUCAACCACUUUGAAGAGUGAACAUGCUUUAACUCACCUUCUACAUUGGGCAUAAGGGGUGUCAACAAUUCCUGUACCUCACUUGUCCUUCUUUCAAUUUUGUCAUCACCUCCAUGCUCGAUUUCAUGGCUGCAGCAGAAAUGUAGUAAAGUCAUCUAGAACAAAUGCAUAGAGCUACCAAUCCCAAAGUAAGGCAAACAUUGCUCUUAUGGAUUCAAAAGUACUCAGCUACAAAUGUGCAAAAUCAAACUGUAGCUCAAAUGCAAGAACUAGCAAGCUAGAAUCAGCUCAAAGCUUCACAUACAACCCAUCGUGCGACUCCGUUACAACCAGGUGUUUGGGACCCUUUGAUUUAUAAGGGAACAACCACUCAAGUGAACUCAACCAUUUGAUCUCCUGGUCAUAACAGAGCCGUAUGAAUGGGUCAUAUGUAUAGCAGGGUUGAAAGCUUUUCAAGAUAGCAUGCCUUAUCCGGUACACACUACACUGAUGUAUAAGUUUGGAAAUUGCUUCUGGUCCAAACAACUGGAGUUGCCAUUUACCAAUGUAGUCUAUGUCCACUUAUCUUAUUCCAACUGAUUCCAUAUUCAGGCUUGAACAAUAAAAUCACAAGUAGCACAGGUGCUCUAUGGUCACUCAGAAGUACGAACUGAACCAAGCUUAGUAACUAAAAGGUGUGGCUAUCACCACCUAGGUUCAAGUCCUCUUCGGCUAAAAUGUAGGUGCCAAGUUCCUCUUAGGUGUCAUUUGGAAGUUGUUGACAUCUCAACUUCAUAUGUGUGCUGAGCACUUACGUCCUAUCAUGCAAGUCAUUGUCUUUAUCUGGUUAUUGGAACUAGCAUUAGUUGCCUUUUAGCACAUUCACACCUUUCAUUCUAUUAAAAGACCUGAUUUUCAAGAGGUAGUUGAUGAUAUGUGACUCUUUGUCUGUUUUCAGACUUUGGGAAAUGGUUUAUUGGUAAGACUGAGCUUCAGGCUCAAAAGCAGUAGUAAGCUUUCCAAGCCUAGUUUCAGACCUAUCUCCGCCCAGUGUUUAGAUAGAUCUAUAUGAAAGUAUAUAAGACAUACCAGACCCCAGAAUCCACCAAGAAGUUAUAAAUUUUGUCCAUUGGUAGGAACGCAGUCCUCUCCUUUGUAUGAAGGUUCAUGCCAAUAAAGUUCCAAUCCAAAUCAACAAGGGGCCCUCCAGUCAUUACCUGGAACAAAAAAUAUUGUUGCCAAGCAUAAAAAUCUCGAACAGCGUAGGAGAACUGCGCGUCAUUUCAUUAAGGUAGAAACAGGUACACAGGUCCAAGAGACCCAACACCCACACACACACCCCACAACUCACACACCCCCACACACACUGGACUUUGGAUUUACAUAAUUACCACAUCAAGAACAUGAAAACGACCAAAAGACUCCAAGCCCUAAUCCCCAUGAGGCAGCGACCUAUAAAUAAAUUCCUGGAGUUUGGCGGCCCCAGCCGAGCACCAAAGCCCUCCCUCUGAGCUGAUUGCCGCAAGGACUUCAUGAACACUUGGCCUCUUCUUAUCGAAGACACAAGUAUUACGAUGCUUCCAAAUCUCCCAAGUCACCAAGAUUAUCAAGGAGUUGAGGCCUUUACGCACUUCCUUGGGGACAGCAGCAGAAGAUCUCUUCCACCAUCCUGAGAAACGAGUCACAGAUGGCUGUGGUGCCAACUGCAACAGCCCCAAAUUUUGAAAAACCAGGGACCAAACUUGGCGAGCAAAUACGCAGCCCACUAGCAAGUGAUUAAUUGUCUCAUCCUCCUGAUCACAUAAUGGACAUUUCUCUGGAUGGGGUAGGUUCUUUGCUAAACGAUCAGCUGUCCAAACCCGGUUGUGAAAUACCAACCAUAUGAAAAACUUGCAUCGCGGAGGAGCUCAGGUUUUCCAGAUUCUUCUCCAUGAGCCAAACUCGAUGGAUCCCUCGAAGAAGGCUGCAUAGGCUGAUUUACUGCUAUAGGAACCAUCCUGUGUUAAUUUCCAUCUAAAUUGGUCUGGAGUUUCUGGGUGCAAGACGAAACCAUCCACAAUAUCCCAAAUCUGGAAGAACUCCAGCAUGACCUCGACUGUACGAGCUCCCUUGACAUCCUGAGUCCAACUUCUAUUAUGGAGAGCUUGUGCCACAGUCCUUCUUUUGGCUGUACAUUUUGGAACUGCCUUGAACAAGUUAGGUGCUAUUUCAGCCGUGGUAUGCCCAUCCAACCAUCUAUCUGUCCAGAAAAAUAUUUUUUCCCCAUUUCCGACUAUGGCAUCAACUGCAACAUGGAAGAGAUCCCGGGCCUUAUUAGGAACAACAAUAGGAAGGCCAGCCCAAGGCCUUUCCUCAUCUGUCCUCUGUGCCCACAGCCACCUAAUUUUAAGUGCGCAGCCAAGCAAUUCCAGGUUAUGAAUCCCAAGGCCUCCGUAUUCAAGUGGCCUUUGUACCUUCUCCCAGGCUACCAGGCAAUUGCCACCAUUGGCCUGCUGCUGGCCCUUCCAGAGAAAACCUCGCCGCUUUUUAUCAAUGGCUUUAAUCACCCAUUUUGGAAGGUCCAAGGCAAUUAAGUGAUAUAUCGGGACAGCCGUCAGCACAACCUUCACCAGUACCAACCGUCCGGCCCUGUUCAUAAGGGAAGCUUUCCAUCCAGGGAGAUAAUCUGCCACCUUAUCAACUGAAGGUAGAAGCACCUCCUUAGUUGGUUUUCCGAUGGAGAGUGGGAGGCCAAGAUAUGUGCAAGGAAAAGUCUUUGUAGAGCAUGAGAGAAUAUUUGUCGUGAGCGCCAGCUGCUCAUCAGUACAGUGAAUAGGAGAAACUGAACUUUUAGCCAAGUUAGUUCCGAGACCGGAGGCAUGGCCAAACAAGUCCAGUAUGUGCCUCAUAGCGAUCAAAUCCAAGUUGUAGGGCCUCAAAAAUAUUACUGCAUCAUCAGCAUAGAAGGAAACCCGAUGACGUGCUUGCUGAACAGCUAGAGGCUGCAGCAAACCCAUCGAAGUGGCAAUAUUGACCAUAGAGUUCAGGACAUCCAUAACUAGAAUAAACAGCAAUGGAGACAACGGGUCUCCCAGCCUUAGGCCAUGGUGGUGGAAAAUAGUGUCCCCGGGUUCUCCAUUGACCAAGAUCUGUGUCGAAGAGGUGGACAGGAUUAAGCAAAUGAGGUCUCGCCACUGCUGACCAAACCCCACCUUCUGCAUAAUCUCCAGGAGGAACGACCAAGAAACAGAGUCAAACGUCUUGGAAAUGUCCAGCUUAAGAAGGAUAUGCGCCUCUUUCUUCUUAUGCAGAGAUUUAACCAUUUGCUGAACCAACAUAAAGUUGUCAUGUAUUCUCCUCCCCCGCACAAAAGCGCUCUGGUUUGCAGAGACCAAGGAAGGCAAUAGAGGAGCUAACCGAUUAGCCAAAAGCUUAGUCACCAAUUUGGCAAAACUGUGAAUAAGACUUAUAGGCCGAAAGUCCUUCACUUCAACAGCAUCCACUUUCUUAGGCAGUAGGGUAAUGUAAGCCGUGUUCAGGAGCCGAAAUUUGAAAAGGUGGCCUUGCUGGAUGGCGUCUAACGCCAUCAGCACAUUCCCCUUAAUAAUGCUCCAGCAGGACUUAUAAAACCUCCCUGUGAAUCCAUCCGGCCCUGGAGCCUUGUCCAAGGGAAUUGAACAUCCAAUACUUCCUCCUCAGAGAAUUGAACAUCCAACUCAGAUAAAUUAUGGUGUUGCAUAAAGUCACAUUGGACCAAAAAAGUCAUAAAGAAAAUGAAAUAUUUAUUGAUGCCCCAAAAGAUAUAGUUCAGUGCAUGCAAUGAUAAAUUCUGCCACUCAUAUCAUGAGACAACUAUUUAUUUCCACAUGAGGAGAAGAGGCAAGAGAAAUCAGCAGCGAACCAUAGAGAUUUUACACAUGGAGAUCAUAAGGUGUUUGCGAUAAAAUCCACUGAACUCAUCAGUCACUGUCCCAGACGACUCCAUCAAUUUGCCUGUUUUGAAGCAACGCCCUAAAGCUACUGCCUUACUCUCAGACACAGAUCGCAUGUGCUGAUCAACAUGUGCAGCUCGAAAACCAGGGUAAUGACUGAUGUUGACAAUAGCAACAUUGUAAUUCAAGUCAUAGUGCCCCAACCACCCUAUGGCACUUUGCUUAUUUGGAAGGUCCACUUCAAUCUGUAAUAAAGCAAGACACCAGUAGAUAAUUAUUACCAUGUAUUAAAUAGGCAAUAAAUGGAAUACAUAGGAAAUUGCACAACCAACCUUCAAUGUCGGAAUAAUAUCAAACCCAUCAUCAAUAUUGAAAGAUCUAACUAGGGUUGCUGCAGUUAGGAUACUUGUACCAUAUCCAUCAUUUUUUACAACUGUGCCUGUGCAGACAACGUGAAUCUGAUCUCCUGCUCAAGAUAACACUUCAAUCUUUAGAGCUGAUGAUCAGAUGCAAACAAGGAAGGGUACAUAUCCUGUGAGAAUGAGUCAAUUGUUGGAAAUUUGAAAAUUCUUUCAAAAAACACAUUUGUAGGUUUAUUGAAACUUUGCACAUCCAUUGAUCAUGUUAUGACACACUUUGUCACAAAAGAUGAGAUCCAAAAUAUUUCUAGAUUAAUUCAUACAAAAAUAUUAAAUUUUGGUUUCUUUUGCACUAGGAGACAAAAUUUGUCCUCUAUUGCAUAAAUACCCAAAGUUUGUUAUUUUAAUAUGAAUUAAUCUAGAAGGAAUUUGGAUCUCAUCUUUUAUGACAGGGUAUGUCAUACAAAAAUUGUCCUAUAGUGCAUAAAUACCCAAAGUUUGUUAUUUUCAUAUGAAUUAAUCUAGAAAGAAUUUGGAUCUCAUCUUUUAUGACAGAGCAUGUCAUCCAAAAAUUGUCCUAUAGUACAUAAUACCAAGUUUGUUAUUUUCAUAUGCAUUAAUCUAGAAGGAAUUUGGAUCUCAUCUUUUGUCACAAAGUAUGUCAUAACAUGAUCAAUGGAUAUGCAGAGUUUCAAAACAUUCCAAAACCUGCAAAUAUGUUUCUUGAAGAAUUUUCAAAUUUUCAACACCACCUAUUUUCACAUGAUAUGCCCCCAAUAAGGAAAGCUGAUUUGUAUAAUCACCAUUGAGUGAAGCCAGUGAAACAACAGUUUCAGAUAACUGUGAAACAACUUCUUGACUGAGUUCACCCAAGGUGCCUUGACUAGAUUCACUUAAGCUGCCAUCGUUCAACUGGUUUCCUAGUCAAGGAGCUUGUCACUAAAUACAUGUAAAAGAAGAACUGGCAAAAGUGAAUCAGUAACUCACUCAUCGUUUUUCUCCUCUUCCGAGGUUUCUUCCUUUUAUUUGAGCUUGAGCUGUCACCUAUUGAGUUAGACAUCUUUCGAACCCUGAAACAGAAAGAUAAGAUCCAAAUAUAGAGCAAUCCUUAGCAUGGGAGUUAUUUGUUUUUGCUUUCAUUUUGUGCACAGGCAACUCAUAAAAUUGUCAUUUUUUAAAAUACGUUUAGGAGUGAUUCUGCAGCACAAUUUAUUAAAAACUUAGAAUAUCAACAUGGUGCUACAAAAAUCUGCACAAGCAAAAUAAAAAAUAUAAGCCCUUAGUCCAAAAGAAUCUGUAGACCUGAAAGGUUCAUAUUAUCAUAUAUAUAAGAAUAAUAAAGUGAUUUGAACUGGAGGUACAAACGAUACCGAUGCACAAUAGGAACCCAAAGGUAAGUGGGCAACGAUGAAAGCAAGUUCAGAAUAACUAUUUACCUACAAAACGUAGCGAUGUAUCAAUUUGCAGCAGAUCAAAAGGCCAACUAAACACCAAUAAUCCAACCGGAUCUAUACCUUGAAAGAACUAAUAGAUAAGCAGAAUAGCUACUAAAGAUACACUAACUCAAAAGCCAAGGCAGAAACAACACAGGAAAAAACAGAUUAUCAUCUUAAUGUCAAGCAAAAGCGGUGAUUUCUAGCAGAUGUGGAUUUUGCUCUGGUACAUUUCGAGCAAAAAUACAGUGUGCAGCAAUGAAACGGUCAGCCAUAUAGUUACCAAUAAACAGUGCCCCCAGAAAGAAGCAACAAGCUGGUAUAUCAUUUGCAACCACAAAGAAGCCUCACUAACAUGGGACAUCGCACAUGGCAAUCACAUAUCAACUUAUGUUUAUUUUCUGUUACUUGCUUGCUGUCUAUAGUUCAGCAUAUAGACAAGUGGAUGCCAAAACAGGGAUGAAUGACUCAGAGUAGGGGAGUGUCAUUUAGUCCUCUCGAAUAUUGUCUGCAAAUUCCAGUUGCAUUCUUGGACCAGGACAAGUCAGUAAAAAGGGGGCUUUCUUAGGAGCGACUGCAAAUUCCUAAUCAGUAAUCAAGAAUGGCUCCAAGUGAUAAUAGUACUAGGCAGGUCGAAUGUAGCCCAUCAACAAUAUUUCCCAAGUGAUAAACAUACCUAUAGGUCAAGCCAAUGGCUAAUCUUACACAGAUUACAGGGAAGAUAAGAUUACAAUUGGGAAAGGAAAGGAGCUUUAGAGGUCACCUUGUCAUCACCCGAAGUUGGCGGCGCGGAACAAGGCCGAUGGACGGUCGCUGGCGGCGCAAGCACCAGAGUUCCGGCGUCGAGGGAAGAAAAGACGCUGAGGCGGUACCGAACCGAGGAAGGGCAAUUGCGGAGUACAGCGCUCUGCCGCCGCCAACGAGGGCAAAGGGUAAAGAGGCUUUUAGUUAUGUGAGCAUCUCCAACAACUUGGUAAAAUUCACUUAUCAAAUUUUGAGUUAUAGCAAGUUGCUAAUUUGUUUAGCAAAUGAAAAAAGGAUGUGUCUCCAAUAAGUUGCUAUUCUCACUUGGUAAAAAUAGAGGAUGACAGAUGGCACCCGCUCACUUGUUAAAAGAAUAUGUGUCUCCAACAAGUUGCGCUCGGGAUAGCAACUUGGGAUAGCAACUUGACAAAUCUCGGCAGUAGAAACCUCUGGAUAGCAACUUGGGAAAUUUAGCAAGUUGAGAUAAGAAGUUGUUGGAGGAGGAUUUUUAUGCUUUUAGCAAAUUUGGUAGGAUAGUAUGUUGAAAUACCAAGUUGUUGGAGAUGCUCUUAUAAGAGUUGAUAAUUAUACACAAGUCAUUAAAAAGUUAAGUUCUUAUAAAUAACAUUUCUCUAAACUCUUUUGCUCCUCAAGCCAUAUCUGUUAGUUUUAGCUCUAACGGUGUUAAACUGCAAGAUUCAAAAGUCAAAAAUAUCCUUAGACCUGAAUAUGCAAUUAUUUUUCUAGCAUUUUAGUGAUUUCAAAUCAAAAAACUCAGAAUUAAAAGUUAUAGAUCUCGAUAAUAUCUAUAAUUUCAUAAAAAAUAUAAUUUAGUAUGAUUAAUAUGUCUUAAAAAUCAUACUUUUUAUAUGGAAUCAAAUAAAAAUAUUUAUUAUAUAAAUAUUGUAGAUCUCAGUGAGAUCUAGAACUUUCUAGUUUUGAGUUUUUUAUUUGAGAUUGUUAAUAUGCUUAGAAUAAAUUAAUUGCAUAUUCAAACAUGAGAGUAUUUUGGACUUUUCAUACCUACAGUUUAACACUGUUAGAGUCAAAUCUGACAGAAGUGGCGUAGGGAGCAAAAGAGUUGAGAACAGUGAUACCUAUAAAAACUCAACUUUUUAGUGGCUUAUAGGUAAUUACUAACUUUUUAUAAUAACAUAUCUCUAUCUCUACAACUAAAAGUUACGAAGAGAACCUAUCUACCAUAUGUGGUGAAGCCAUGACUCCAAUCACCUUUAUUGACACAUGGGCCCCAUACACAUGCACAUAACCAACAUAGAAGUCACCUAGAUUUGCGUGCAGUGACCAUGUUUACAAACUAAAAAAAUCAUAACUGCAAAAACAAACAUCAAAAUUAAAUUUCGAUUACACCAUCAGAUUUUUUGCAAUAAAUCCUUCGAAACAAGAUCUCAUAUGGAUAUAUUUAGAUAAAAAUAUUUUAAUGAAUAUUUAUCUUAUAAAGCAUUAAUUACUGUUGUUAAUGAGUAUGUCUAACCUUGUGGUUCUGUUUUUCAGUGGAAAUUCAUAGGGUAUUAAGGGGACAUUGAGCUUCGAACUAAAAAAAAUCUUGUACCUUUUUUUCAAUCCGAUUCUAUACUUAGUGUCUCACGAAGUGUUUCUUCCUUUGUUGUUAGUGUCUCACGAAGUGUUUCUUCCUUUGUUGGAUGGUUUGAUUUCAAGUGUCAUUGGCCUUGCUACAAACCAUUUAUAGUUUUAGUGAUGCCUUUUCAAAUUUGCAUGUCAGGCAAUUUGUUCUUUAUUGGCUGCAUGCAUGGGGUGAAUAAAAAAUAAUAGAAAUAAGAAGAGAAAGGUUGGACGAGCGUGUUCAGAUGUAAAUUGCUACCAAUCAAGAAGAAAGUGUUGCUCUUGCAUGUCUUCCUAUUGAAUUUAACAAAUCAUUUAUGUCUAAUAAAUCAGUUAUUUUUAGUUGAUUGAUUAUGGCCCACGUAAGGGCACUCACAAUGCGGACACUAUCAUAGAGUCUAAAGUUAUUUAUUACCUCGAACAAUGUGGACUUAGAGUCUAAAUAAGACUUGGAGUCUUAUUUUUUCUAUCUCUUUCUUCAAUAAAUAUGCUGCCACAUCAGCAAAAUACUAUAAAUAAUAUGUAAUUAAUUGUCUUAGACUCUGUGAUAGACUCUUGCAUUGUGAGUGCCCUAAGAGAUCAUAGCUUACAGACUAGACUCACUUGAGCAUUUCUAUCUACCCUCCAUCCAUUUAUCGGAGUCAUCUUACCAAAAAAAUUUUCUCCAAGAAUCAGAGCCAUCUAAGCUAGGGAUCACUAUUUUCAUAUUUUUCCACAUUGAAGGGUCGAGAUGGCGGACUAGAGGGGGGGUGAAUAGUCUUUUCUAAAACUUUAACACACCGGCUAACCGAAACAAGUGCGGAAUUAAAACUAUCAGUCUAGCCAAGACUACACCCCUCUAUCUAAGUUCUCUAGCACCUUGAAAAGAUCCUAAAAAAGCAAGCAAGGUGCUACCUUAGCAAGAGCUCACCUAACCAAUUCUAGGAGCAAGGUCACACAAACCUAUGCCACUAGUACUUUGCAAACCAGGGAGCUCCUACACAACUAGUAAGCAAAAGCACAAAGCUCCUAAGCUCACUAGCAAUGCUCAAAAACAAGGCAUCCAAUGCCAAAUUAGAGAGCGCAAAUUACUUAGCUACACAAACUAAGCAAUGUGACUAACAAGGUUACACAAACCGAAUUAGCCACGCAAGGGAACUACUUCUAGCUACACAAGCAUGAAGGUAACUAGCAAGCUACACAAGCUAAACUAAUUACAAAAGCAACUACACAAGCACAAGUAUAUAAAGAAAGUAAAUACAAGCUCGUGUAUAGCGAAUGCAAACCACCGAGAAGAGUAGACAAUGUUGACACGGUGAUUUUUAUCGAGGUUCACUUGGUUGCCACCAAGCUACGUCCUCGUUGUGGCGAUACACCCACUUGAUGGAUCACGAGCUAAUUGGCAUUUCAAAGCCAAACCCUCAGCGGGUGCCGCACAUCCACUCUCAAGAUGGGGAUCCUCCAAGCCACAAGCAAUCCACUAGAGUUGCUCUUCGCGAUCCCCGCGGGGUGAGCACCGUACCCCUCACAAUCUCUUCUCCGGAGCACCACACAAUCUCCUUGCGUGCUUCGACGGAGUCACAAGCCACCAAGCCGUCUAGGAGGUGGCAACCUCCAAGAGUAACAAGCACCACUGGCUUGCAACACGAACACCUAGUGCCACUCGAUGCAAUCUCUCAAUGCAACGCACUAGAAUCGCUCACUCACACAAUCGGAUGAUCACUAUCAAGCAUAUGUGAGUUAGAGGCUUUACUAGCACUCCCCAAGCAUGGACACUAAGUCCCAAGGGUGCUCAGCUACAGCUAAGGCCGGCCACCACUUCUAUUUAUAGCCCCAAAGGCUAAACUAGCCGUUGCGCCUUCACUGGGCAAAAGUCGGGGGCACCGGACGCACUGCAGGAACCACCGGAGGCUCAACUCCCAGCGUCCGGUGCUCAGGCGUCAGCCACGUGUCACUAGCCGUUUGAACUCGACCGUUACCGCCAACGGCUACCACGCGCCCGUGCCUGACACAGCACCAUCGUACGCUCUGCUGUAUCACACCGGACGCGUCCGUAGCACACCGGACCCGUGCGCAGAGAGCUCCGCAAACUUGCAGGGUCACCGGACGCAAGCCACCGGACGCACCCUGAGCGUCCGGUGAUCUUCGGUCAGAAAGACCUCGCAUGCACUCGCUGAUGUCACGCACCACUGGACGCUCAAACAGUAACCGUCCAGUGUCCGGUGCCAGCGUCCGGUGCGCUCUGCACACCUGAGCCACAGACUGACACCACACCGGACGCUCUGGACCACCGUCCGGUGCUGCCAACACCAGCGUCCGGUGAGUGUUUCUUAGCGAGAAACACUCCCGCGACUUCUCCAAAAUUUCCCACCGGCGCAAUAGAAAAUAUGCACUUAAUUUUCUCAAAAGCGCUGAAUCCCGCCCCCCCUCUCAACCCUAGGAACUCCACCUCCUUUGCAAAUGUGCCAACACCACCAAGUGUACACCACCAUGUGCAAGUGUUAGCAUUUUCACAAACAUUUUCCCAAAGCAGUUAGCCUCUCAACUUGUCACGCCACUCGAUCCUAACACGUAUGCAAAGUUAGAUCGCUCAAGUGGCACUAGAUGACCGAUAUGCAAACAAGUUUGCCCCUCUUGAUAGUAUGGCCAUCUAUCCUAAAUCCGGUCAUAAACUUCUCUACACACCUAUGACCGGUGAAAUGGAAAUGCCCUAGGUUAUACCUUUGCCUUGCGCUUUCCAUUCUAUCUCCUCCAAUGUUGAUGCAACACAUGCACCAACCAAUCACCAAAUGAUAUGAUCCACUUCAUAUCAUCACGUGAUCGUAUUGGUUCAUCGAUCUUGACCUCACUUGCUCUUCACCAUUGCCUUGGUCCAUCGGCGCCAAGUCUUGCUCAAGCUUCACCGUCACACGCGGUCCCUCGCUUCAAAGCCUCCGACUUGCCCUUCACUCUUGCAACCGGUCCAUCGAGCCAAGCCUCAUCUUGAUCUUCUCCACCUUGGUCACAUGACUCCAUGUCAUGUCUCAUAUGCAAUGAGCUCCUCCAUCAUCACAUAAUCACCUGUGGACUAAUCUCCUGUGUAUCUCACAUAAACACUAUUAGUCCACCUAAGUUGUCACUCAAUUACCAAAACCAAACAAGGACCUUUCACACAUGCGGCUCCUCACAUUGAUCUAAUUAAUUCAACUGUCUGCAUGCAACUCAUUCAUUGGCCGAAUUAAUUUCCCCUUGUCACUGUGCACGACCCUAAAAUGACUUCCAUAAAUAGAUGGAGGGAGUAUAAUACUGCAUGUCUCAUAUAUUUUACUUAUUACUUGAGUAUUAAAUUUUGAAAAUUGGAUUCGGGAGGUUUGUAGUUCAUAGAGGUGAUAUCUUCACUACAGUCUAAACAACUUAGGUGUUGAUGGUAGACUUUAAAUCAUUGAUUUCUAAGCGGCACUAAGCUAAAGUGAAAUAAUCUUCGCUCACAAUUUGCUUGUCCAUACAAGGUGUUUUAAGAUGUUUGACUAUACAAGGUGUUUGGUUAUCCAAAUUGAAACCAUGAUGUCAUAAGAUUUUUUUUCAUGUGUUAGCUGAAAAUUACUUAAAACUAUGUAGAUUUUAAAACCCGUAGCAACGCACGGGCAUUAACCUAGUUAUUGAUGAAAUAGAUGAUACUCCCAAGUCACAAAUAAGUGGCAAUUUCCUGUGUGCAAUCAAAGUGCCUAAUUUUUUACCAUCAGUACCUCAUAUUAUGAUGGAACAUUUCAAAAUCCUGAGUAUCAUUGCAUUAAUACCGAUUUAGGUUGUACAUACAAAGUUCGUCAAAACAAAACCAUGUAUGUACGUACAAAGUUCAGUAAACCUGCAUAAAUACGGAUGCAUUUUUUUUCUCUCGAACAGGUAGGAGAACUGUGUAUCAUUGCAUUAAUAGGAUAAGAGAAACAUACAACACACCAGCACACCUCCUUUCCAUGAUGUUUCAGUAGUAAAAAAAAUGUAAAUUUCUCCUAGAUGUUAAGAAACAAAACUGACAAGCUUCCAAUCUGGUAUUUUUUCAUGAUGUUCUAAAAGGACCAUUUGGGUUUUUCCAAUCAUAAUAUCAAAGAUGAGUUAAAUCAAAAUUUUGUCAGAUUACUUGGCUUUAUGGACCUUAUAUACAUGAUUUUUCAUGGAAAUUGUUUGGAGCACUGCAACAUGUUGGAUUAUUGUGUUUUUGCAUGGGAAUGCUGGAUCCUCUGGCCCCAAGCUAUUUCCUAUAUUAGAUAUUACAACGAUUAUGCAAUUUGCAAUUCAUAAGAGCAUCUCCAAAGGCUUUGGCAAAUUGACUUGACAUUUGUUGUUAUUUGCAAACUCCCAUAACAAAAUGCAAAGGAUAAAAAUAGGUCAUCUCCAAAGGAAUUAGCAUUUGAACUUGGCAAAUGAUAAAAAUAGAAGGUCUCCAGGCGCGCGCGCUUUCCUCGCUCGUGACUUUGCUCGCGCGAUUGGGUUUGCAAAGCCAUCCACAACUUGGCAUUUUUGCCAAGUUUGCUCCCUCAUUUGCCAAGUUGCCCAAAUUGCAAACUCCAAAUGCAAAACCGUUGGAUACCUCUUUUGGAGCUUUUUGGCAAAUUACUCAAAUGCAAACCUCAAUUGCAAAACUGUUGGAGAUGCUCUAAGUGCUCCAAUCUUGUUCAGGAUUUGAGAUUUGGACAAUUUCAGUUUAGCAGGUUCGACAACUCCAAAGUUAUAAAUCAGAUUGAAGAACAGAUCUUGUGGAUCUUAAUGAAACAUAUUUAACAUAAACAAUUCAUUGUUCCCAAGAAGGAUCAUCUGUUAGCAUCAAUUAAAUGACUAAUGACCAACUAAUUAUAAUGUACAUGAUUACUAGGCAUGAGUUCCUGUAACAUGCUUUCCACGAUUAGGGUCAUUAACAUGAAUGGAUAUCAUCAUUUAUUGUUUGCAAAGAAAUAUGGGAGUACACAAACACUAUAUUUGGCAAGGUGAUACUCCAACGUAUCACCAGAAUCAUGUACCCUUAAACCUCACCACCUGGAACCUAAAUGAAUUUAAUAUGCCUAGCAAGAAAGCCAAACACUACCAGAAAACUGAGUAUCCUUGAGGGCUAGCAAUUUCCUUGAGGGGUGAAAUUAAACCCCCAAGGAUAUACAAUUACCUUGAGGGUUGUAUAAAACCCCCAAGAAAAUGCAUAUUCUUGAGUGCUAAACCAAACCGCCAAGUUAAAUCUAUAUUCCUUUGAGUGCUAGUUGAAACCGCCAAGGUAAUUCUAUGUUUCCUUGAGUGUUAUUAUAAACCACCAAAGGUAAUUCACAUUUCCUUGGGUGUAACUAGAAACCGCCAAGGAAGUUCUAGUUUCUUUGGGUGUAAACCCUCAAGUAAAUUAUUGUAGCUGCCAAGAAAAAAAUAGUUUAUAGUCAUAUUUCUCUUAACCACCGAUAUAGUGAACUCAUUGCAUUCUUGUUAGUUAGACAUUGCAUUUUAUAGACAUAAACGCUCCAUUGACAUGUUUGGAAAAUGAUAUAUAAUUUUUGUUAGUAAAUUAAUCCAUUAAAAGUUAUAAUUUUGUGUUGUUAUGCAUUAGAGAAUGCAUAUACUAGCACUUAGCUUGAGAUGCCUGCUUAUUUUAAAGCUAAAAAGUAACAUAAUAUCGUAUGGAGGCAAAGUUUAUAUCAAAGUUAUAGAGCCCGAAGAGAUAUACAACUUCUUAGUUGAUGAAAUUUUCAUUUGAAAUUAUUUGGGGUCCAUAAAAUAUACUUUAAAUUAUUAGAACUUUAAACUUUAAAUUUUUUGCAUCUUUCAAAUGACCUCAAAUAGAGAUACAACCUAAACCAAAGUGUACUCGAUGAGAUAUAAAACUUUAUAAUUCAAACUUUUUUCAUUUGAAAUCAUUUAGGUUCUCAAAUAUUCAUUACAAGAUCCACUAAAGUGAAAACAAAAAGAAAGAAACAUUCACUUAGUCACAAAAGACUUCAUUGUGUAGUGGUAAGUUAGUUUCACAUGGAACAUCAAGUCAUGAGUUCGAUUCUCAGCUACAACAAAUAUGAGAUUGUUUCUCUUUUUUUUCAUGCAUAUCCUUGAGGGUCAUCGGCACUCAAGAAAACAUCUAUCCUUGGGUGUUUUUACAUUUUCUUGGGUGCCAUCGGCACUCAAGGAAACCUAUAUUCUUGGAUGUUUUUACAUUUUCUUGAGUGUCAUUGGCACUCAAGGAAACCUAUAUCCUUGGGUGUCGUUACAUUUUCUCGACGAUGUUAAAAAUCUGACCACUAAUUUAUUUUCUUGACGGUUUAACCCUCAAGAAAUUGAUUUGUGGCGGCCGGCACUCAAGAAAAUAGUAUUUCCUUGUCUCUCUACCCUUGGUGGCCAUUCCUUGAGUGCUAGCCGCCAAUAUUGAUUUUCUUGGCGAUUUUAGGGGUUUCCUUGAGGGUUUUUGACCUUCAAAGGUAUUCAGUUUUGUGGUAGUGAAAGGCAAUCAGCUCAAAAACCUUACUACAGUGUCAAACUUUUUUUAUUUGCAAAAAUCAGGAUACAAGGCAUUUUAUUUAUCUGAACCUCAUAUUUGGAUUUCUAAAACUACUAUACUCUAUGGCAUGAUUACAAGUUAAAACAACUUAUUCCCCUCUAGACAUAUAGUAUAUAGGACACACUCCAGAGUGGCAGUUUAAAUUAAGGCAUCUGCACUUUGCAAAAGUAUAUUGACAAUCAUCUAGGUAUUACACAAUGUGCAUUACCCACAGAAUAAAAAACAGAUCUACACAUAUUACCACUAGAUCGAUUUUCUCCAAACGCACAGUUGUGUACUCAAAGUUCAUUUAUCGAAACCAUUAUAGAGCAAAUGCACUUUUGCAAAAAAUGAAAAUAAAAGGGGCAGAAAAGCAAACAAAAAGAAUCAUGUCCAUUACCCAUUAUACAUAACACAAGUUUGCACACAUACUUUUGCAAUAUAAAUCUGCACUUGUCUUUUCCAUACAGUACAUAUUGACAUGUUUAUGCAAAUUAUUUUGUCGAUGCUACAUGGCACAUGCACGAAUAUGUUCUGCAUCAAUGAUUUUUACCAAUUCAUAUUUUUGGAAGGAUGCCCAUGAGGCCAUGCACAAUUUCACAAACUGUGAAAAGUGGACAUGAUAUCUAUACUAUACUCCUAAAGCUGGAGAAGCAGAGUCCUCUCACAGAUCACUGUAGAUCAACAGGACCUCCUCACAUAACACUGUUGUAAGUACAGAAACCAAUCUAGCACCGUCCGGCCUUAGCACCAAAGCCAGCCUCCUACUCCCCAUACUCACCUUGCCUCCACUCAUCUUCCCGUGCGUACAACAGUGCAACCACCAGCACCGUCCGAUCCUAUGCCCUCUCGAUGCCUUCCCAUCCGAUGUCGUCCACGCGUCUGACGCCGACCUUCUCGAACCAGCGGCGCACAUCCCAGUCCUCGGGAAACCAUGCAUGCCCAACCUCUUCCCUUCGACCUUCUCUCAUACAGAGAACAAAAAAAUCCUCCUCCGCCAUGCCCCGCGGCCAUCCUCUCCUCGGCCCCGCGUUGCUCUGUCUACACGCGCCCUUACCACGGCCUCUGCCCUCUAGCUACGGCCGGCCGGCGGCCGCGUCGCACGCUCCCGUGCCCGCCCUCCAGCUCAACCCGGCCCACGGCCGUGUCGCGUCCACCUGUGAUACGCGGCCCACCGUGUCGCAACCACGGUUGCUUGCCUUCCGCGGCCGAUCACCGCCGCGUUGUAUCCGCGUCAGCCUACCUUCAGCGGCCUAGAGGGCACGCGGCCGGGGGCUCGCCAUGCCCCAUCCAGCCCUCACCGGGGAGGCACAUGUAGCCCCUCGCUGGAGCCGAAGCGUCCAGCGAAGCCUCAGCCGGAAUCCUUCUCUCUUGCUUCCCUUUCUUGCUGCGUGCUCCCCUCAUCUUGCGUAGGGUGAUAGCUCCGGCAACUAAUUCCUUUCCAAAAAAAAAAGUGUACCAAUGUUUGCCUAGGGGUGCCAUGCACACGCUAUGAUUAGGAGUCAUUUAUCUACAUUGCUGCACAGAAUUCUGCGAUACCGUGCAAAGCCCAUAUAAAAUGUCACUAGAAUCCUGCUACGUAGUAAUACCGUGUCCAUAUGAGCAUAGUACUAUUUGAAUCAUAUUGUUCGCCGUUCCUCUACAGUUGCAUGCUGUAGAUCGCUCGAAUGUUUGGGUUUUUAAGUUAGACAUUAAUUCCUCCCUAUUAUUCGCUUCUAAUUGAACGCCGAAUGUUUUGUGCAUAAUCGCUUCUAUGCUGGAACAAAACAUCCUAAUUCAGCAGCUGCUAUUGGGUUUCACAAAAAAGGGUGUCCUUAUUACCUCUCUAACUUCAAUCCUGAACCUUUGCAGCUCUCCUUAACAAACAGAAAAAAUCGAUUUCCAUAUUCAUCUUAUCUUUCCACUUUACCAGGUCGUUGACACACUUGCUCUGUAAGUUUGUAGAAAGCAAAGUUGGAAGUAUUAUUGGUUACUUUAACAUAAGAUUGGAAUGUCACACUUUUCCAUGGUUACGAAGAUGGCACCAUCAAUAGUAGAAUCAUUAGUUAGCAGCAACUGAGGUUAUUUGUCAUUCCAGUUUACUUUAUAUACUUCCAAACCAAUCCACUUUCAAUGAUCUCAGCGCCCAAAAUGAACCUCACAUUGCCCGCUUAUCGGUCCCGCUUAUCAGUCACAUUUCAAUAUGUGCAAUGAGCAGUCUUGCAUGCACAUAUCUAUAUGCUGCACAUUACAACGCUAUUAUUUGAAUUAUGUGGUUGCCAGCCUAUUGGAAAAUAAAUCUAUCUGCAAUUCUAUCACACUGCUUGCCUCUUUCAAACUUGCUUUGUUGCACCCGCGGCAACACGCGGGGCUUCUGCUAGUAUGUAAUAAAAGCCUUUAAGGGUGAAACCUUAGGGCACUCACAAUGCAAGACUCUAUCACAGAGUCCAAGACAAUUAAUUACAUAUUAUUUAUGGUAUUUUGCUGAUGUGGCAGCAUAUUUAUUGAAGAAAGUGGUAGAAAAAAUAAGACUCCAAGUCUUAUUUAGACUCUAAAUCCACAUUGUUCGAGGUAAUAAAUAACUUUAGACUCUAUGAUAAAGUCUGCAUUGUGAGUGUCCUUAGGAAGGUCACAAGUUAGCCUGCUAACGGUUUGGACCGAUAUGGUUUUAAUGGAUCGGUUGUUGCCGUGGAUUUAUUGGGCUGGUUGUAGGCCUCGCCCUCACUCUCGCUUUGCGGGUCCCCGCUGUCGGCAUGCCUCCACCAGCCACAACCGUCACUCCCCUUGUCGCUGCAUAUUCCUCCACUCCUGCACGGUCGCACCCCGUCCUUCUACCAUCCCCAUCGCCGCACACCGGAUUCUAGCACCCCGCCGCCCCAUCCUUGGCUUUGCUGCACCUGCACACGCACCCCACACGACACAGCUCGACUCAAGAAGAUCAGUCGAAUCUACCGGUGUUUUUUCUCUCAUAAUAAAUUAGUAAACAAUAUUUUCUACCAUAGCUUAUCAGUCAAACGAACAAGGCCACAAUGUCGUGUCGCUCUGUCGCCCCCAUAUCCAUAGAGUAGAGGCGCCAUCCGUCAAGACGUUUUCAUUUCUAUCUAUGACUUGUGGGCUCUGUUGGCCAGCUGUUUGCGUGAGGCCUCUGAUCGACUAUCUGGUCACGCCAGACCUGAAUUGUGAAUCUUAAACUGAGAACAGGAAGCAUGGGCCCCUUUCCUACCUACCUCCUCUCUCGAUUCUUGUUGUGAAUCUCUCACGUCGCCGGCGACAUUCCGGCGGCCAAGGGUCACUACACGCUCGCGCUCUGAGAACCGCCACAGCACCAACAGUGGCAUCUGGGAAAAGGCGCAAGGGAUCAGAAGCUGAUGGUGGGCAGCAGGGAUGUAGUGGCGCACGUCAAUUCUUGUCUAAUUAAUCCCGCCACCCCUCGCGUCACACAUUGAGGGAGUGUUUAGUUCCCCAUAGAAUCUAAAAUAAAAAAUAUCAACUACUUUAGAGUGAUAAAAUAUAAAAUGCUAAAAUUUUUAGAAUUAUGUUUAAUUUUAUUCAAAAUAUAGAAUUUAUUAUUGUUAUGAAGCCUCUUGAGGCUAAUUUUGGGUUUUUUUUACCUCUUGAGUCUAAAAUCCAAAAUAGAGAAUAACUACUUUUUGCUAAAAAUUUUAUAUAGUGUUUAGUUUUAUUUUAUAAAAUUAUUAGACCAAAACCUAAAUUUUUUUGAAAAAAAUAGCAAACACCCCCUGAAUUCACGAUAGGGUCGGGCAACCGAGUACGUAAAUAAUCCUAACCGCCGGCUGCGUCAGUGCCGUCGGCUCAUCUAGCCUCAGAUACCUAAGGGGAUGUUUGUUAGGUUGUUAAAGUUUAAUAGGGAUUGUAGCAUUUUUGUUUUACUUAAUAUGCUCAAAAGAUUCAUCUCUCAAAUUACUCUUUAGCUGUGUUUUUAGUUUCGUAAAUAGUCUAUAUUUAGGCCUUAUUUAGUUCCCAAAAAAUUUUAAGAUUCUCCACAUCGAAUCUUUGUACACAUGCAUGGAGCAUUAAAUAUAGAUAAAAAUAAAAAUUAAUUGCACAGUUUGUCUUUAAUUUAUAAGAUGAAUUUUUUGAACCUAGUUACUCUGUAAUUGGAUAAUAUUUGUCAUAUACAAACGAAAGUGCUAUAGUAGCAAAACCAAAAAUUUUCACGAAUUAAACAAGGUCUCAAAUACACUAUGCAUGUGUCUAAACAUUCGACUUUUGACAUCUUCCUUAUCAUGCUGCUUUGCUCGCUAGUGCGCGCGACAGACAGACAAUUAUGCAGUAAUAAAUAUCCCGUUCAUGCGAAAGUUCCUGGCAAUAUGCAUGUGUAAUUCAGUGGAAAAUUUUCAGAUCAAGAAGUACACUUCUGUUACAGAGAUGCCGAUAAUUUGUAUCUGAACUCCAAUUUAUGCAGUUCAAAGGAUACUGGAUAAACACAUGAUUGCCAACAGCUCGGUCUCAGCUGGAACUAUUUCUUAGUGAUUCAAAAUUUGUACUGCAAUGUAUUUUUUUUAACUUGUACUACAAUGUAUUUAUUGUGUCUCCACACGUACAUUGGCUUAAGUAUGUUUUCAUUUAUCUUUCUAUUAAAAUGUAUCUUUACCAGCCAAUUCAUGAAAUUUAUUAAGUUGUGAACAACAUUAUCCUUGACAAAUCAAAUUCGUUCUUUUAAAACAGAAACAAAUCUUGCUAACUUAUUUGCAAAGCAUAUGCAGCUCCUAACUCCACAAAACCCCUGAUGGGCCUUGAAACUAAAACACGAGGAGGAAGAAGAAGAAAGGUCCAACAAUUUUUUCUACCAUCAGCAAACAAUUGUUCGUUUGGCUGAUAAGCCAUGUUGACUGACUUAUUGUGAGAGAGAAAUACUGCUGAAUAACUGGCAGAUUUGACUGAGAUGUAAGUUGUCCACUUGUUCCUCUGCUCUGCUGUGUCUGCUUGUUCAUUAUCUGGAUUGGAUAGUCGUGCUGCUUAGGGGGAGAAUUAACCAUAGUGCACCCUAGCAGUCAAUUGUUUGUAGUAGCUCGGUUCAUCUGUUGUAUGUAUGUUUCAUGAAGAAUAUCUUAACUGGUCUCAAGGAUCAAACAUCUGCAAUGUAGAACGCCAAACAAGGAUCAAACAUCUGGCUAUUUCUUACAUAUGUUUGUUUCUCGUAUUCUCUGCUUCCGUGCUUCGGCCAACAAGGAGGCGUACUGCUGCAGGUCUGCAAUGGACUAGCCAACUAAUUGUACAGAAUCGGGCCUCAAACCACGUGUAUCAUGGGCCGAAUCCCACGCUGGGGUGAGCUCCCACGUUCGGUGCAAAUCUGCAUUUGGCUGCUCGAGUAUUGCUGUGGAUGAGGGGUCAAUACACAUCAAACCACAUGUGCCAGAAAAAUCCCCACCCGAGCCGUGGAAAAGAAAACACCGAGCUCGCAUCGCGUCGCGUCGUCUCUCUCGUGUGCGACCUCCUCCACGCCGCCGGUGCCCCUCCGACCACGGCCUCCUCCUCGCCGGUGCACCACCACCGACCGCCUCCUCGCGGUGUCGUGCCCCUCGUCCUCCGCACCGCGCCAACCCUCGUCACCGCUGUCGUAUGUUCGACGUCGUCGUCGUUAACUCGUCACCGCCGCCGCCGCAUCCGGUCCGGUGAACAUCUUUCUUACUCUUUCUCCCCGUCUCCCGUAUUCUGUAGGGUUCUGCUUCACCUCGUUUUAGUAUUAGGGUUUCGAUUUCACCUUUCUUCUUUUCCUUCAGAUCGAGAGUCAGAUCUGGCAGAGUAGCAUCUUGGUGGACACUUCUCUGCUGCAUUCGGGCGUCAAACCAUCGGUAAAUUUUUAGAGCUCCUCUUAUUUUGUGUAGAGCAUUGCCAAGCAUGCCUUUAUCAGAUCUUUUAGGAAGUCAUUGUUUAAGUGAGAACAAUAGUACAGCUUGCGUCAUUCCUAUGUGCAUAGAGACAAGUUGAGUUUGGCUAUUUCCUGGAAGCUGACUAGUGCAGCCUUAUCUUUAGUCCAUUACCACUGUUAUCGCUAAUGAUGGUUAUAGGGGCAAUAAACUAGCUAUAGUAAUUAGUAAAUUAAUAACUGAUGAAUCAUUGCAUGAAGAGUAAAAUUAAGAGUGAAGUCCAUGAUCGAGCUCUGCUGGUGUCUGUCUGUCUGUAAGUCGUUUUACUAAUUUAUUUGACUGCAUGCUCUGGCUCUCUAUACAAGUAUGCAAUGCUUGUAUCAUGAUCUGUGUAGAUUAUAGAUAAUCUCUAGUUAGUUGCUGAUAUAUUGAUGAUACGACUGAUAUAUCAGUCUCCUAUAUUUUUAUGUUCAAAAUAUAUCUAUGGGAAUAUAUUUCUAUGCUCAAAAUAUAUCGACACAUUACCAAGUUAUUUGCUGAAACUUUUUUUUUGCUAGCUGCAGCCAUCUUAGGUUCAGUUUUCCUUCUAGUUAGAAGAUAAUGGAUUUGCUAAUUAGGAAGAGGAGGGAAGAGGAGGAUGAGGAGAUUAUGAUGUUUUGGUUGCCUGCCUUAUAUCUUUUAACUAGUAAUGGAGGGAUACAGAAAAGAGUAAGGCAUACUUCAAGUCAGUAUGGUGAAGAAAAGAUUAGAAAUAUUUUAGAGGGACAUGAGAAAAAUUGCCUUGUUGCGUUCCGCAUGGAGCCUAACAUAUUUAGAGCAAUAGCGACAUAUCUCCGAACAGAACAUCUCCUACGUGACACGAGAGGUAUUACGGUAGAGGAGAAACUUGGACAUUUUCUUUACAUGAUCUCUCACAAUGCAAGCUAUGAAGAUCUACAACAUGAAUUCCAUCAUAGUGGAGAAACGAUUCACCGGCAUAUUAAGGAUGUUUUCAAUGUAAUCCCAUCUCUGACCUAUAGAUUUGUGAAGUCCCCUAGUGGAACUGAAACUCAUUGGAAGAUUAGCACAGAUCAAAGGUUCUUUCCUUACUUUCAGAAUUGCUUGGGAUUUAUUGAUGGAACACACGUUCCUAUUACCAUUUCUCAAGACCUACAGGCCCCAUAUAGGAAUAGAAAGAAUACCUUAAGUCAAAAUGUGAUGUUAGUAUGUGAUCUUGAUCUCAACUUUUUCUUUAUAUCAUCUGGUUGGGAGGGGUCUGCAACUGAUGCUAGGGUUCUUAGUUCAGCCAUGCUUGGAGGAUUCAAUGUGCCUCAUGGCAAAUAUUAUCUUGUUGACGGUGGAUAUGCUAACACACCAUCCUUCAUUGCGCCGUAUCGUGGUGUUCGAUACCAUUUGAAGGAAUUUGGGCGUGGCCAGCAACGUCCAAGAAAUUAUAAGGAGUUGUUCAAUCAUAGGCAUGCCAUAUUGCGGAAUCACAUAGAGAGAGCAAUUGGUGUUCUUAAAAAACGCUUCCCUAUCUUAAAAGUUGGAACACAUCAUCCUAUUGAAAACCAAGUAAAGAUACCAGUUGCAGCAGUGGUGUUCCACAAUCUUAUACGGAUGCUUAAUGGGGAUGAGAGUUGGUUUGAUCACCAAGAAAGCAACAUAUCUCCAGAACAUUUUGUUGAUCUCCCUGAAGGUGACAAUCACUACAGUGAUGAUGUAACGUCCCUUAGCAGUCAAGUAGAUGAUGGAAACGCAGUUAGAGAUAUGAUAGCCCAAAAUAUGUGGAAUGACUACAGUCAUAACUCAUCCUAAUAAAUGUGAGUAUCAUUGGUAUCUCAUGAAAUAUUUUGCUUAUGUAUUUUCUGUCUUCUAAGCCUAGUCAGAUUCUUGUAUCUGUGGCAACCAUGUUUAUUUGCAGACUUUUGUAUGCUGAAGUUUGAUACUAGAUUUUUGUAUUUGCAGCAACAAUGUUUGGAAGAGGGUCCCCAAGGCUCAAUUUGUUCCAAGUUGCAGCUGCCCAAAGAAAUCCGUCUCCAAAGACUUCACGAGUUCAAAAGAAAAAGCCAUCACCAAAAGGUAUGGGCUUUUUCUCAAGUCUAGAAGGUUGGUACAUUAAAAACAUGCUAUUAUUUGUAGCUUAUCUGUGCUUCUCUAUUCCAGCUGUACCUGAUCGUCCAAGAGCUCAUUGGAAUGCGGGACUUGAAAAGGGUUUGGUAGAACUAUUACAUGAUCACAAUAAUGACCAUUAUAGGGGCCAGAAUGGGUGGUCCCCAGAUGCAUGGAAUAGGAUUGUCAAAUUGUUCUAUGAGAAGUUCCCCUAUGUCAACUUUACAAAGACUCAAAUCCAAGACAAAGAGAGGGAGCUAAAGAGGGAAUACAGACUUCUGAAAGAAGCAAGGAAGCAAAGUGGUGCGUCAUGGGAUGAUAAGCUAUGCAUGAUUGUAGCAGAUCAAGCUGUUUGGAACAACAUCAUUACUGUAAGAUUUCUUUCUUGUCUCUUUCUGUUGUUCAUUCUUGUUAAAUAGUCUCAUCAUUUGCUAAUUACUUUUCAUUCUUGUAUUCGUUAAAUAGUCUCAUCGCAAUGCCAAGAAGUUCCAAAAUAAAUCUUUCCCAUUGUUUGAGGCUUUAGGGGAGCUAUAUGACGGUAUGUUACCAUUGUUGUAUCUUUAUAUUCCUACCAGUCAAGUAUGUUUUGUUCAGUUCUCCUAAUAUUACUUGAUUUCACUUGCUCGUGUAGGACAAAUUGCUGAGGGAACCCUAAACUUCACGUCCAUUGCUCCUUCCCAAGUUAAUGUCACACAGCCCUUCCAAGUUCCUAUCACACAGCCUUCCCAAGUUGCUCCCACACAGACUUAUCAAGCUACUGUCACACAGCCUUAUCAAGCUCCUAUUACUCAGCCUUUCCAAGUUCCUGUCACACAGCCAUCUCAAGCUACUGUCACCCAACAUAAUAUGGGAGAAGAAGAUGAGAGUCUCCAUUUUGACUCUUUUGCACAUGAUGUUGAAACUGAUGAUGAAGACUUGAGGAUAUUGGAACAACCAGUUGCACGUGAUGCCACUGCAAGGUCAAGAAUGGGAAAAAGAGGUGCAAGUACAAGAAACAAGGACAAUGCUACAAGUGACAAGACAAAAAAGGCAGCACAAAGGCGUCGACAAGAUGGGCAGGUGGUUGAAAUGAUGGGGAGGUUUAUAGAGAUGAAAGAAAAGCAAGCUGAAGAUGAGAUGGCCAAAAAGGAAAAGGCAAGAACUAAUGCAAGUGAAGAGUUCUCAAUCCCAAUGUGCAUUUCUAUUGUGGACAGCAUGGAGGAGCUCUCAGAUGAUGAAAAAGUUUUGGCCUAUGGUGUUUUCAAGGAUGCACAAAACAGAUCUAUUUUCAUGUCUGCAAAACCUUCUACACGUCUCAAGUGGUUAAGGAGGGAGGUACUGAUCCUCUUCCCAUCCUCUUCCUUUAUUCAAUGCAACCUCUUAUCUAUUCUAGGUCAUGUUCUUCAGUUUUACUUGUUAAGUACAAUUCUAAAAAAUAAGAAUUUAUAGCUCUUCAAUUUAACUUACAUUUCUAGGAUGGGGGCCAUAGUUUCAACCCUUUUCAUGAAUGUAAAUGUGUAGUGAUGAUAUUUGAGAUAUGUCUGGAUACCUAGUACAGAUGUGCAGUGAUGAUAUUUGAGAUGCUUAUCCAUCCUCUUUUUUUCCAGUGCCUCCAAAUGGUUUAGCUGCCACUCCACAGCCCUCGUAAUCAAGUAUGAAUAAUUUUUACUGGCCACUCCAAACAAAAAAAAGUAGAAAAGUUCAGAGUUUUUCAGUUUGAGUGCAGUUCAGUUAUUCCAGAGUAGCAGCCUUGCAUCUUUUUGUGUUUUGUCACCUAAUAGUGAAUAUUUUAGUCAAGCAAUCCUUCACAGAUAUUUGAAGGAUUCAUUUCCUAUUGUUAGCUCCGUAAUAAGCUCGUACCCAAAAUGUAAGAACCUGUCAUAUUAGAACAAGUAAAUAACCAAAUUAAUUUUCUACUGUUUGGUUUGUACUGCCUAGUGCCUUGCCUACUUGUUGAUUAGGUUGGCAACUUACUGAUGAUAGGUUUCUGAGUGUUGUACACAUGUACUGCAAAACAAAUAUGCUUUUGUUUGCUAAUCUACCACACAUUUGACAUGUCCUUCAGUUUGCUAAUAACUUCUCAUUUGUUUCAGGUGAUGCAGGGGUAAAAAGUUCAAGCAGAGAGAUAUAUGCUGGUGCUGGAGUUGUCUCCAAAUUUAUCUUAUUGUUAAAUACUUGGUUGUCUUUUUCUUGGAGAUAUGCUGGUACUUGGAAUUAUUCAUAGAUAAUAGACUUCAAAUUAUACCUCUGUAGCAAUCUUAGCUAUUGGAGUUAGACAUGUUAGAGUGUUGAUAUCAAGAAUCAAAGAGAUUAAUGUUGAUUUGUCAUGAGAGAACUAGCUGAGACCUUGCAGAGCUCUAGUUUCAGUUACUUGAAAUGUUUUAAUUUAUUCAUGCAUAGUUUCUGGAAUAUUGUUUGAACGCAACAUAGUUUAUGAGAUGACCCAAUGUGUCAUUUAAGGUCAUGUAUGUACUGCCAUUUACUCAAGUGUGUGUAUUGUUUUAGUUCAAUGAUUAUGUUCAGUCAUGUGUAUGCAUGUUAAUUUCUCUAUUUUCUAUGUGAAAUUGUGUUCGUGUUUUUGUUUUUUUUUCAAUUUCAAAGCAAGGUUUUUAGAAUUACAGAUGGACAUAUAUGUUGGAUUUUCUUUUCUGAUAUUUUCUUUCUUUUAUUAUUUUUAUUUAUUUUUCUCGAUCUUUUAUAUACCGAUUUUUACUCAACUCUUUUGUUAAGUAUUUUAUUUUUCUAGUAGUGUUUGAACUCAAUAAGCUUAAGUUUGAAUUUUUUUUAUUUUUUUAUUUCUCACAUGCAUAUGUUGUAUUUAUAGUUCAGUUCAUAUUUGAUAAUCCACCAUGCAUGCCGUGAUGAUGUGCCAAGGCUCUGGCCAGUGGAGCAGCUGAGAACCACUUGGCCUCCCGCGAGCUCACACGUGGUUGUCAAAUCGCGCGUGUAUUGGGUGGAUGGUGUGGAUUCAUCCAAUACACGGGUGGAACUAUACACACUUGUAUAAUAUUCAUGGACAGCCAAACGAAGCCUAAUUGUACAGAAACCAUUUGCAGCCACCGGUUUUGAUGUGGGUUCUAACCGUUCUGAGGCAUUUGGAUUGGUUUGGUUUGGUUUGGUGCCUAUUUGCGUUGAGGGUUGGCUUGAUUCUGGGAGAGGUAGCAGGCUCAUCUCAAGAGGCGGUCGGUUGCGUAACGCAAACUUUCUGUGUCAACCGUGCUCGGGAUGAGUAACAUGACAUCUAACAGGGGAAGAAGCUUUGAUUUAUUAUAUUAUUAUAAAAAAUAUCUGCUGCGAACUGGUUGGGUUUAAGUCCCCGACUUGACAAGGGUGCUUACAUUUUUCUAGAUUUAUUUCAGAAUUUAACGGCGCUAUAUGCUUUUCAGUGGUAGACAAUGUGUUCCUUGAUAGCGAGGCGCUUGUGGUGCGCUCGUGUUUUGUGAGCGUCUGCACUUGUGACUGAGUCAUGCAAAAAAAAAAAAAUCUGCUAGGUGCACCACUUCUAUUGAUAAAGCAGAAGAUCACAGGUAAACAAGUGUAGAAAGUGGUCCACCUCCUGUUUGGAUUAUGUGAUAUAUUUACAACGUAUCCUUAAGAUUCUUUCUUGUAUUCUUCAAAUAUCAUAUAUAGUUUAUAAAGGGUCAGGUAGUUUAUAAAAAUUUAGCUAUUUUGCUUUAUUAUAUCCAUGUUUAGUAGUGAUGGCGUUAUAUAGAAAAUGCAGAAAGAAUUCUUUUAUGCCUUUCUAGCUAGUUAAUGUUAAUUUUUCUAUUUUUUUACCCUUUCAUUUUGUAAAUUAGUAUAUCCUAAUUCAUGAUCUUCUGCUAUAGUAAUAUUCGAUACAAUAUUUUAGCAAAUCUAUUUGGGUUACUUCCAACCCUUUUUUAAUUCUUCAUGUUGAUUAGGACAUGUGCACGUCUACGCAUUGUUUCAACAAAAAAAUUUACUGAUACUCCUAAAAAAAAUUGUGUGCGUGAAUGUAUCCAUGAGUGUACGCUUAUAUGUAUAUGUGAGCGUCUGCGUGGUUUAAAAAUUGGACUUGAGAGAUUGCCUGGGAGGGGAGGCGGGGAUACGAGAGAGACGUACGAUGUUUCUUAUAGUUUGUUCACGGGACUGGCACGGGCGCGGACUUUUGGUGUCAAGUCGUUGGAAACCCAGUUUCUCUCCCGCCGUAGUGGUUAGGGAAAGCCUAUCCAUCCCAGCCAAAAUCUUGUCGAUCAAAACUCUCUCUGCCAUCGAUGGCAUUGCUACUUGUGUAUAAAUAUACGCGCCGCGCGUGCACGUGGGCAGCCCCGCAACAGAAAACAGAUCACAUCACAUCAAACCGCGUCCCGCAGCUGCAAACAAGAUCGAUCGAUCGAGAUGGAGGAGGCACGGAAGAAGAAGAAGCAGGAGGAGAAGCUCAAGACCGUCGUCAACCUCGACGACUGGCUGCCCAUCACGUCGUCGCGCACGGCCAAGUGGUACUACUCGGCGUUCCACAACGUGACGUCCAUGGUCGGCGCCGGCGUGCUGGGCCUCCCCUUCGCCAUGUCGCAGCUGGGAUGGGGUGUCGGGACGGUGGCGGUCGUGAUGUCGUUCGUGAUCACGCUCUACACGCUGUGGCAGCUGGUGCAGAUGCACGAGAUGGUCCCCGGCAAGCGCUUCGACCGGUACCACGAGCUCGGGCAGCACGUGUUCGGCGACCGCCUGGGCCUCUGGAUCAUCCUUCCCCUGCAGAUCAUCGUCAUGGCCGGCACCGACGUCGUGUACAUGGUCACCGGCGGGCAGUGCCUGCGCAAGUUCCACGACCUCGUCUGCCAGGGCGGCGGCGGCGGCUGCACCGACAUGCGCCUCACGUUCUGGAUCAUGAUCUUCGCCACCCCGCACUUCGUCCUCUCCCAGCUCCCAAACUUCAACUCCAUCUCCGCCGUCUCCGGCGCCGCCGCCGUCAUGUCCCUCGCCUACUCCAUGAUCGCCUUCUGCACGUCGGUGGUCAAGGGUGCCAGAGCCACGGCGGGCGCCAUCGACUACGGGCUCAGGGCGACCACGACGUCCGGGCAGGCGUUCGGCAUGCUCAGCGCGCUGGGCACCGUGUCGUUCGCGUACGCGGCGCACAACGUGGUGCUGGAAAUCCAGGCCACCAUCCCGUCCACGCCGGAGAAGCCGUCCAAGAAGCCCAUGUGGCGCGGCGUCGUCGUGGCCUACGCCGUCGUCGCGCUCUGCUACUUCUCCGUCGCCUUCGGCGGGUACUACGCCUUCGGCAGCUCCGUGGACCCCAACGUGCUCAUCACCCUCGACAAGCCGCGGUGGCUCAUCGCCGCCGCCAACCUCAUGGUCGUCAUCCAUGUCAUCGGCGGCUACCAGGUCUUCGCCAUGCCCAUGUUCGACAUGAUCGAGACCGUGCUCGUCAAGAAGCACAAGUUCAACCCGGGGUUCUGGCUACGCUUCGUGUCCCGCUCAGCUUAUGUCGCCGCUACCAUGUUCAUCGGAUUGACCUUCCCCUUCUUCGACGGCCUGCUCGGAUUCUUCGGAGGCUUCGGCUUCGCGCCAACGACGUACUUCGUAAGACUUCGAUCGAUCGAGCUUGUUUCUUGAUUCUUAAUUAUACUAUUACACACAGCAUGCAACUAAUUUUCUUCCAUGGCCUGCAGAUUCCUUGCAUAAUGUGGCUGAUGGUGCGGAAGCCCAAGAAGUAUGGCCUCACAUGGUUCAUUAACAUUGUAAGUUUCGGUCGUCCCACUACUGGUUUUUGUUGAUUCGAUCUUCCUUUCAAUGGCAUUAAGUUACGUGGAUAGUUAGAGUAAACUAAAAAAACUGUCCAUGAUCUAUUGCUGUUUUCUCAGAUCUGUAUCGUCAUCGGCGUGUUGCUGACGAUCAUCGGCACCAUUGGAGGACUCCGGCAAAUCAUCCUUGGCGCCAAGAAUUACAAGCUAUACUCUUAAGUGGCGAGGCUGACGAUGGAGCAGUUCUGCAGGGUAGUUAUAGUUAAGAUUAGUAGGAGUGAAAAUAAUAUAGCACAUCAGUUUGCUUAUUUUGCUAUUAGGUCAUGUCGUAAUGAGGUCGUUUUUGCUUGUGUUUCCUGAGUUUGUCGUGUCGUUUGCUUGUAAUCACCAGCGGAACCAGGGGGCUAGCAGGGGCAAUGCCCCCCCCCCCCCCAACCAAACACAGUGUUUCAUUUAAAUACCUAUAUAAACAUUGAUAUUUAUAGUGUAAGAAAUAUCAAUUUUAUCUUUCUUUUGGCAAAAAUAUGAUGAUUUUGAUAAGAUAUAGUGUAGCUUUUUUUUAGAAAGUUGUUCAAAAAUAUAAUUAUAUAUAUUUUAUCAUACUUAAAAAAUAUGAUCAUAUUUGUUCGAUCCCCUUAAUUAAAAUUAUUGGUUCCACCACUGCUUGUAAUGUGUAUUUGAUCUUUAAUAAAGUUUGUUUAUUCGCAAAAGAAAAGCUAUACUCUUAAGCAUCAGGAAAAAUUACAGGCCGCUUCUUUGAGGACAACCAGUUUGGGCGUGUUUGGAUCCUGCCCUCGCAGGUGCUGCGUGGCCACAUGCGUAACGCGAAACGAUGUUGUUUGGUUGAGGCACUUCUCCACACAGACACAUAAUCGAACAGACUCAAUAUGUACUUCUUUUUCGCAAAGACCAGUUAUAUGUAUUAAUUUAGUGUCUAGCUAAUACUACUAGGUAUCUAAAUCAAAGUUAUAUCAGUCAAGAAGAAUAUUUUCUUGAUUACAUCAUGGUUAUCUUUUAUACUUCUUCUGUCUCUUUGAAAACUUCAAUUCCUAGAAUUUGUGUCAGUCAAAACUUUUUUUAAAGUUUGAUCAACUUUAUAGAAAAAAGUAUCAAUAUCUAUGAGAUAAAAUAAUUAUCUUAUAAAAAUAUAUUCUAUGAUAAAUUUAAUAAUACUAAUUUGGUACCGUAAAUUUUAGCAUUUUUUAAAAAUUUAAUCAAAGUUUAAAAAAUUUGACUUACAAUAACUCUAGAAAUUGAAGCUUUCAGGGACAGAAGAAGCAUUAACUAGUGGUCAUGCAGGUGGGCAUGUACGUGUCUAUGGUAAGACAUAUUCCUAUCUAAAUGUGUGAGAAAAGUUGCUCCUACAACACCACAAACCAAGCAUUAUAUACGCGCAUGGAUCCACCAAAUUUGUGGGAGAACCAAACGUUCAUACAAUGUGACCUAUGAAGUCAUGCGUGGCAUAGCUGGAACGACAACCAUGCUCAGCCUAACUACUAGACAUGCUUGCCUCAUCAAUUUAAGGACUUCAAGUCAUAGUGUCCCUUGCUAGUCACACAUUCCAUACCCACACCCACACCACAUGCAUGCGCGUCCAUGCACGAAAGAGAUUGGGAGGCGUCUUCAGUGUGCGUAUAUACACACACACGUAAAGCACGUACUCAAUUCAUUUCAAAUUAUAAGAUAUUUGACUUUUUUACAACAAAUUUUUUAUUCAAAAAUUUGUGUAAAGUAUCACUUCUUUUGUUGUGGCUUGGUUUAUUAAUAAAAGUUCUUCAAGAAUGACUUUAAUUUUUUUUUGAAUAAGAUGAGCGGUCAAACUUUAGAAUAAGUCAAACGUCUUAUAAUUUGGGUUAGGGGGAGUAGAAAGAGAUUGGGAGGAGCCCUGGUGGAAAUUUCUGGGGAUUAUAUCAUAAAUAAGAACUUGAGGAAGUUAAGUACAUACCGGUUCCAUGGUCUAGCGGUUAGGACAUUAGACUCUGAAUCUAGUAACCCGAGUUCAAAUCUCGGUGGAACCUUUUUUUAUAUUGCUAUAUAUCUUUUUGUUCGUUUUGUCUUUUAAUUAAUUUUCCAGUCACUCGUAUUAUUGGUGAACGGUCAUUUUGCAACUUGCAAAGAGGACCUGACGGACUGGCACAUGCAGCCGCAGAUGAGAUACACUACGGCCUAUUCCAUUCUUAUAGCAGUAAAUAAAUGGCACGUAAAGGAGUUUCUUUUUUUUUUUGCCGGAACAUGUAAACGAGUUUUUUAUUUUUAUUUUGAUAAAUGUAAAAAAGUGGUUGGUUCCCCGAUCUAGCGGAAAUGUAACCCAGUUUCAAAUCUUGCUGGAACCGACCUUUCAAAAAAGAUAAAAUCUUGCCGGAACCUGUUUAUGACUCCAACCACAGAUUUUCCCGGGCUCCAAUUCCUCCUUGAACUCAACAUCUCAGUGACCUGUUUUCAAAAAAAAAAAAAAAAAACAUCUCAGUGACCUAGCUGCGUUAUUUAAAAACAAGUUUAACUUGCCAGCAGGCCUGAAAUUAGCAUUUUCCGCAGUCUAUGGAGCUCAUUUCACAUUUUUUUCCCUUCAUCCAUGGUGGUGCCGAGAAUAAAUAGAUAAAAAUCUCAGGAUAAAUGGUUUCAAUGGGAAAAUGCAGGAAAUCUGUAGAGUAAAUCUCACAAAAAAAAAAAGACAACUUUUCAAGACAACCACAAUACUGGAGUUUUACCAAUGAGCUUUGCAUAACCACGAUUUUGUUUAUAGAAUUUGCUAUUUUAGGGCUGAUAGCGUUUGUACACGUAUUCCCACGAUAGCAGGGCUUAAAACUAUGCUUCAGGGAUCAGGGCCAGAUCAUCAUGGGUGAGAUUCAAUUUGGACAACGAAAAUGAUAGGGCGUGUUUGGUUCCAUAAAUUUGGGCAAUUGAACAUAAUCAACAUCAUUGUCCCAGUAAAUUCCACUAGUACCACAAGAAGAAAAAUCACUGAUGCAUAUUCUUUCACUCUGACAAGUAAACAGAUACAAAAUAUUUCGUGGCCUAACAUUAUUUCCUCCACAAAGAAACAGUAAAAAUUCCACUGAUGAGCAUCAUCACAGAACCCAUGUCAAAGUUGACGGCACGAGAAGACUAGCACAAAUCUACAAUACAAUACAAUACAAUACACAAAAUUGCUCAACUGACAUAAAGAAGUGGGAGCAAAGAUGAUAUGUAAAUAGUUGUACACGGACGACCUAAAUGUAUAGGUGAUAGUGUUGACCGCAUCAGCAAAAUUAGACUAUCAUGCAGGGCUGCCAUCUUCAUGUAACAAGAAUACAACGACAGCAGCCAACAACACUACGAAAUGCCACAAAAGUAUAUUUCCGGUUUAGUAGUGAUGGCUCUAUGGUGCGCACUGUCUCAUGAAG